GAUGAAGAACGUAGCGAAGUGCGAUAAGCAAUGCGAAUUGCAGAACCGUGAGUCAUCAGAUUUUUGAACGCAACUGGCGCCGAUUGGAUCUCCAGCCGGCAUGCUUGUUUCAGUGUCUCUUUUUCUCAUCACCCAAAUCUUAAUGCGAGAGAUACCCUUCUCUUGUCAAGUACGAAAGCACUCUGAGCCCUGCGAGUGGCUUGGCUUCGGUCAAGGCCACACUCAAUGCAGCAGUCACAUUUCACAAUGUGAACUCAUUGAGAGUAGAGUCAGCGCAGUUUACUGCUAGUGCUUAGAGCCUUUAAACUCUUCUUGUAUCUGAAAUCAAGCAGGACCACCCGCUGAACUUAAGCAUAUCAAUAAGCGGAGGA
rnacentral:misc_RNA from 1 species